rfam:Stegodyphus mimosarum contig47570, whole genome shotgun sequence.
GCCUUCGUGGUGUAAAGGUCAGCACACUGAGCCGGUAUUUCAGAGGUCCGUGGUUCGAUCCCCGGCGAAGGCA